GUCUCGCUCCCUCCGGUGUGUCUGGCUUGUCUGGGAGCGUCUGCUGUUACUGAAGUCCCAGCUUUGCCUCCGUCUUUCUCCCUCUAACCCAAGACAAAGAGCAGUGUGCUGGAUUCCUGCUGUUGCUAAAUUCUGGACUGCUCCACGCCCCUGGGUUUGGCUUCUGUGUUCUUCCACCCAUUCUCUGCAUUACAUUUCCUCCCUGUGAAAUGUCUUGAGUCAAUUCUGUCUCUCGACUAGACCACGCCUGCAACACUAACUGUUCCGUUCGGACAGAAGGUUCCUGAGAACACACUGGCGCUGCUGCGCUCCACAGGACUGCUGCUCACAGGGAAAACAGAGACAGAGAUGGAGAAGGAGACUCCUGAGUUCAUCAAGAAACACCUUGAUCCAGCCUUGCUUGGAACGUUGGGGUAGAUGAACAACAGGAGAAUGGACAAGACAUCAUAAAGGCGGUAAUCAUGCUUCCUUCGGCCAGAAACGGUCCCCAUCCCAUCUAUUGAUGAGAACGCAGCCAUGUGACCACAUCUCCUUGCCAGGCAGGCUGGGCAAUGUGGCUUCACCACGUACCAAGGAAGGAGGAGCAGCAACUGGUGAGCAUACAGCGCAGCACCCACUUGUGGUGCCAGACCAUCAGGUAAGGCCAGACACAGCCGGGCAGCCUGGCAGCAAGGACAACGAAACCUGGAGCUGGUUUAUCGGUGACGAGUGGAAUCUGUUUCCUGAAGAGCCUGAGAAGGCAAAGAGCCUCCUCUGCGGGAAGACGGGAGUGAGGGGCUGACUGCCGGCAUUCCAGGACAAGAAAUUCUGCCCCUCCGGGGUGCAUCCUCCUUCUUCCAUUCUCAUGGAAGUGGUCAGCGACGUCAGGAAGCUCACUCCGUGUUUUCCAAGGAAAGAACACUGGUCCUGGAAUCGGCCUGCCUCUGGUUCCAGCAGGCCCGGCCAGGCCAUCCCGGCACCUCCGCUGGCUUCUCCUCCAACCCAUCAGGCUUGGUCAGUCCUUCUCUUCCAGCGACCUCAGAGUGGCAGAGCCAUUGGUGCAGCUAUAAAUGACUGAUGGCCCGGUUGUGUUGGAGGAAUUGUAAACACCAUUCAUAAUUCAUCGGGCGGGCAUGUGCUUUGCAUUUAGAAUGGCUGGUACCCGCAGCCUGCUGCGGAGCUGCAGGGAGACCUGGUGGACGACGUCCCCUGCACCCUCCAGGGCCAGUGGCUCAGCCAGGAUUCAGGGAGGCUCUAGUGGCUGGAUUAACUCAGGGCUUCAAGGCUGGCUUUUCACAGAGCUCCAUGUUUGAGGUAUUAGCUUAUCACCUGUUACUUAAUUUUUUCCUUUCCAUCAACUACCUUAUUUUACAUAAUUCAAUUUUAAAAAGGAAAAUUUGCAUCAUUUUCCAAAAUGAAAAUCAGUAUCUACUGCCCUUAAUAUCCAGUCCCAGCGAGGAGGAGGAAGUGCAUCUCUGAUUGGCUUGAUUUGGUUGUGUGCCCAUCCCUUAUCCAAUCACUGUGAUGAGAGUGUGUGUAACUCUGAUUGGCUUGAUCUGGUCAUGUGGUUACAUGUUAUCCAAUCACUGUGAUGAGGAUGUUUGGGACUAUGAUUGGCUUGAUUUGGUCAUGUGCCCACCUCUUAUCCAAUCACCAUGAUGAGGCUGGGCUGUGUAUGACUCUGAUUGGCCAGUAAUAGGUCACAUGCUCACUGGUGAUGUGACGGGCUGGGUCAAAGUGCAGGUCACUUUCUUCAGGGAAAUCCUGAUGUUGUGACAGGAGGAAGAGGAAGAGGAGGGACAUGUCAAAUAAUAUCGCCCACGGUUCUGUUCUCUAAAUGUUCCUCUUUCUCCCACACUGCUGAGCAGAGCUGUUGAGGUCUGCAAGGAACUGCUGGUGUAAAGUGUGGGAUUGAGCCCCUGUGCUCCCCAGGUGGGCCUUGGUGAGCCCCUGAGUGUGAACACAUGCCUGGGCUGAGCCCCUGAGAGUGAGGCCCUGUGUGUGAACACCUGCUUGGGGUGAGCCCCUGAGAGUGAGCCCCUGUGAACACAUGCCUGGGCUGAGUCCCUGAGAGUGAGCCCCUGUGUGUGAACACAUUCCCGGGGUGAUCCCCUGAGAGUGAGCCCCUGAAUGUGAACACCUUCCUGGGGUGAGCCUCUGAGAGUGAGCCCCUGUGAACACUUUCCUGGGUGAGCCCCUGAGAGUGAACCUCUGUGUGUGAACACCUGCCCGGGGUGAGCCCCUGAGAGUGAGCUCCUGUGUAUGACACCUUCCUGGGGUGAGCCCCUGAGAGUGAGCCCCUGAGUGUGAACACCUGCCUGGGAUGGGCACCUGUCCAGCAUGGGCAUCUGAAUGUGGGCAUGUGAACGUAUGCACCUGAGUAUGAACAGCAUUACCAUACCAUGCUCUCUGAGGAAUUCUCACUGUGAAGUUCCUGGUAAUAAAAGUCAAUCAAAACUCCAUGUUCUAUCGACCCAGCUCCCUCCACAUUCCACAUCUUCUUUCUGGUCUUAAAACAGGAAUUAAAAGAAAUUAAAGAAUGUGUAAGCAGAAACUCAGUUGUAUGUAAGAAAACCCAGGCCGGGCGCGGUGGCUCACGCUUGUA
rnacentral:lncRNA from 1 species